GAUCAUGGCUCAGAACGAACGCUGGCGGCAUGCCUAACACAUGCAAGUCGAACGAGACUUCGGGUCUAGUGGCGCACGGGUGCGUAACGCGUGGGAAUCUGCCCCUCGGUUGGGAAUAACACAGAGAAAUUUGUGCUAAUACCUUAUAAUGUCUUCGGACCAAAGAUUUAUCGCCGAGGGAUGAGCCCGCGUAGGAUUAGGUAGUUGGUGGGGUAAUGGCCUACCAAGCCGACGAUCCUUAGCUGGUCUGAGAGGAUGAUCAGCCACACUGGGACUGAGACACGGCCCAGACUCCUACGGGAGGCAGCAGUGGGGAAUAUUGGACAAUGGGCGAAAGCCUGAUCCAAGCAAUGCCGCGUGAGUGAUGAAGGCCUUAGGGUUGUAAAGCUCUUUUACCCGGGAUGAUAAUGACAGUACCGGGAGAAUAAGCUCCGGCUAACUCCGUGCCAGCCGCUGC
rnacentral:rRNA from 1 species